CACGCAUGACACACUGCAUAUCAAUAAGCGGAGGAAAAGAAACUAACAAGGAUUCCCCUAGUAACGGCGAGUGAAGCGGGAAGAGCUCAAAUUUGAAAUCUUAAAGGGUUUCCCUUUACGAAUUGUAGUUUAAAGAAGUGUUUUCUGUUGGAGUUUCGGUAAAAGUUCUUUGGAAUAGGACAUCAUAGAGGGUGAGAAUCCCGUAUUUGACCGUUACUUUCCAGCUGUGUGAUACACUUUCAAAGAGUCGGAUUGUUUGGGAAUGCAGUCCAAAAUGGGUGGUAAAUUUCAUCUAAAGCUAAAUAUUGGCGAGAGAGUACCGAUAGCGAACAAGUACCGUGAGGGAAAGAUGAAAAGAACUUUGAAAAGAGAGUUAAACAGUACGUGAAAUUGUCAAAAGGGAAGCGUUUGACACCAGUGUUGUUUUCUCGAAAAUCAAUUAAAAAAGAUUGGAUUUUGUGUUGUAUUGACUUUAUCAGCUUUCUGCACUCUUCUCUUGUCUUUUUUUAAUGCACUUUUCGUUUAACGAGUCAACAUCAAUUUCUUUUGUUGUAAAAGGGUCAUUGGAAGGUGGCUUUCACUUCGGUGAAAGUGUUUAUAGCCUUUGGCCUCUGCAAUCGGAGAGAUUGAGGUCUGCAGCGUAGAUCCUUCGGGGUUAGAUACAUUUGUGCUAAGUUAUAGCCUUUCAUAGACAACUUGUUGACUAUGAUCAGUCAUGUAGCUUACUCGCUUAUGCUAUUUUACCUACGCUUAGGAUGUUGAUAGUCACAGCGUGUAC
rnacentral:rRNA from 1 species